rnacentral:rRNA from 1 species
GACGUAGGGCGCGAGCGUUGCCCGGAUUUAUUGGGCGUAAAGAGCUCGUAGGCGGCUUGUCGCGUCGACUGUGAAAACCCGCGGCUCAACUGCGGGCCUGCAGCCGAUACGGGCAGGCUAGAGUUCGGUAGGGGAGACUGGAAUUCCUGGUGUAGCGGUGAAAUGCGCAGAUAUCAGGAGGAAUACCGGUGGCGAAGGCGGCAUCCUGGACCGGCAUUGACGCUGAGGAGCGAAAGCUAGGGGAGCAAACGGG